GACGAACGCUGGCGGCGUGCUUAACACAUGCAAGUCGAACGGUAAGGCCCUUCGGGGUACACGAGUGGCGAACGGGUGAGUAACACGUGGGUGAUCUGCCCUGCACUUCGGGAUAAGCCUGGGAAACUGGGUCUAAUACCGGAUAGGACCACUGCCUGCAAGGGUGGUGGUGGAAAGCCUUUGCGGGGUGGGAUGGGCCCGCGGCCUAUCAGCUUGUUGGUGGGGUGAUGGCCUACCAAGGCGACGACGGGUAGCCGGCCUGAGAGGGUGACCGGCCACACUGGGACUGAGAUACGGCCCAGACUCCUACGGGAGGCAGCAGUGGGGAAUAUUGCACAAUGGGCGCAAGCCUGAUGCAGCGACGCCGCGUGAGGGAUGACGGCCUUCGGGUUGUAAACCUCUUUCAGCACCGACGAAGCGCAAGUGACGGUAGGUGCAGAAGAAGGACCGGCCAACUACGUGCCAGCCGCCGCCGUAAAAC
rnacentral:rRNA from 1 species